GAUGAAGAACGUAGCGAAAUGCGAUAAGUAAUGUGAAUUGCAGAAUUCAGUGAAUCAUCGAAUCUUUGAACGCACAUUGCGCCCCUUGGUAUUCCGAGGGGCAUGCCUGUUCGAGCGUCAUUUCAACCCCUCAAGCCCCCAGGGGCUUGUGCUGGGGCCCUGCGGCUGCCCGCAGGCCCUGAAAACCAGUGGCGGGCUCGCUAGUCACACCGAGCGCAGUAGCACAUCUCGCUCAGGGCGUGCGGCGGGCUCCUGCCGUGAAACCCCCCACUGUAACCCCAAAGGUUGACCUCGGAUCAGGUAGGAAUACCCGCUGAACUUAAGCAUAUCAAUAAGCGGAGGA
rnacentral:misc_RNA from 1 species